GAUGAACGCUAGCUACAGGCUUAACACAUGCAAGUCGAGGGACCGGCGCACGGGUGAGUAACACGUAUCCAACCUGCCCUUUACUCGGGGAUAGCCUUUCGAAAGAACGAUUAAUACCCGAUAUAAAGGAUGGGGAUGCGUUCCAUUAGGUUGUUGGUGAGGUAACGGCUCACCAAGCCUUCGAUGGAUAGGGGUUCUGAUAGGAAGGUCCCCAACAUUGGAACUGAGACACGGUCCAAACACCGACGGGAGGCAGGAGUUAGGAAUAUUGGUCAAUGAGCGCGAGCCUGAACCAGCCAAGUAGCGUGAAGGAGGAAGGCAUGUGGGUCGUAAACUUCUAUUAUAUAAGAAUAUGUAUUAUAUGAAUAAGGAUCGGCUAACUCCGUGCCAGCCGCCUCGGUAAUUC
rnacentral:rRNA from 1 species